rnacentral:rRNA from 1 species
AGUGAACGCUGGCGGUAGGCCUAACACAUGCAAGUCGAACGGCAGCACAGUAAGAGCUUGCUCUUACGGGUGGCGAGUGGCGGACGGGUGAGGAAUACAUCGGAAUCUACUUUUUCGUGGGGGAGAACGUAGGGAAACUUACGCUAAUACCGCAUACGACCUACGGGUGAAAGCAGGGGAUCUUCGGACCUUGCGCGAUUGAAUGAGGCGAUGUCGGAUUAGCUAGUUGGCGGGGUAAAGGCCCACCAAGGCGACGAUCCGUAGCUGGUCUGAGAGGAUGAUCAGCCACACUGGAACUGAGACACGGUCCAGACUCCUACGGGAGGCAGCAGUGGGGAAUAUUGGACAAUGGGCGCAAGCCUGAUCCAGCCAUACCGCGUGGGUGAAGAAGGCCUUCGGGUUGUAAAGCCCUUUUGUUGGGAAAGAAAAGCAGCAGGUUAAUACCCCGCUGUUCUGACGGUACCCAAAGAAUAAGCACCGGCUAACUUCGUG